CCGGCUCCCGUAGUUUAAACUCUGCCCUGUAACCAGCAGGGGGGUGAAACGCGGGUGACAUGACGUCGCGGGAAACGUGCAGCGCAGAAGAUGCGUCGCUGUACCCUCACUCAUCGGCUUCACGCUGAAGCUGAUGUGAAAGGAGCGCACCUCAUUGAACGGAGUUGGUCGUUGUGGGUACGGUCCAUACCUGUCGGCCGGGACAGAUGCUCUACCAAAUGGAUUCCAGUUCUGACGACAAUCAUUUGAAGACAGCAGCACAGUGGAGAUAAAGAAAACGGUAGAUAUUAGCUUUUGCGAUAGCGGCAAGAUGGCUCAAACCGUGUGUGUUAAAUCAAUAUUAUUAUUAUUAUUUGGUGUUUAAACUUUUACAAUAGGCAGUUAGAGGAGAUCUCAAGUAUUAGCUGAUUUUUGCUAUUUUUGGCCCCUAGUCCCUGUGAAUAGUGCAAAUCCAGUCCACAUAUUGUUACAUAUAUCUAUUAUACAUACAUAUAUAUGUCCUUAAUCAAUAAAAAGUUCAUACAUUUUUA